rnacentral:rRNA from 1 species
AACGAACGCUGGCGGCAUGCCUAAUACAUGCAAGUCGAACGGUAACAGGUCUUCGGAUGCUGACGAGUGGCGAACGGGUGAGUAAUACAUCGGAACGUGCCCGAUCGUGGGGGAUAACGAAGCGAAAGCUUUGCUAAUACCGCAUAAGAUCUACGGAUGAAAGCAGGGGACCGCAAGGCCUUGCGCGAACGGAGCGGCCGAUGGCAGAUUAGGUAGUUGGUGGGAUAAAAGCCUACCAAGCCGACGAUCUGUAGCUGGCCUGAGAGGACGACCAGCCACACUGGGACUGAGACACGGCCCAGACUCCUACGGGAGGCAGCAGUGGGGAAUUUUGGACAAUGGGCGAAAGCCUGAUCCAGCCAUGCCGCGUGCAGGAUGAAGGCCUUCGGGUUGUAAACUGCUUUUGUACGGAACGAAAAGACUCUUUCUAAUAAAGAGGGUCCAUGACGGUACCGUAAGAAUAAGCACCGGCUAACUACGUGCCAGCCGCCGCAGUAAUAC